AGCGAACGCUAGCGGCAGGCUUAACACAUGCAAGUCGAGCGCCAGGUUUCGGCCUGGAGCGGCGAACGGGUGAGUAACACGUAGGUCACGUACCCUAUGGUGGGGAAUACCCCGGGGAAACUCGGACCAAUGCCCCAUAUGUCCGAAAGGAUGAAAGCGCUUCGGCGCGCCAGAGGAUCGGCCUGCGGCCCAUUAUUUAAUCCUAGUUGGUGAGGUAACGGCUCACCAAGGGUACGAUGGGUAGCUGGUCUGAGAGGACGAUCAGCCACACUGGAACUGAGACACGGUCCAGACUCCUACGGGAGGCAGCAGUGGGGAAUAUUGGACAAUGGGCGAAAGCCUGAUCCAGCCAUGCCGCGUGAGUGAUGAAGGCCUUCGGGUUGUAAAGCUCUGCCGUGGGGGAAGAAGUUCUGACGGUACCCCACAAGAAAGCACCGGCUAACUCCGUGCCAGCCGCCGCGGUAACAC
rnacentral:rRNA from 1 species